rnacentral:rRNA from 1 species
UACGGAGGGUGCGAGCGUUGUCCGGAAUCACUGGGCGUAAAGGGCGCGUAGGCGGCUCAUGAAGGCUGUGGUGAAAGUCCGGGGCUCAACCUCGGAUCGGCCGUGGCGACUCGUGGGCUGGAGCACUGUAGAGGCGGGUGGAAUUCCGGGUGUAGCGGUGGAAUGCGUAGAGAUCCGGAAGAACACCAGUGGCGAAGGCGGCCCGCUGGGCAGUGGCUGACGCUGAAGCGCGACAGCGUGGGGAGCAACCAGG